ACGCUCGACACCUACGGGAGCAGCAGUGAGGAAUAUUGGUCAAUGGGCGCUAGCCUGAACCAGCCAAGUAGCGUGAAGGAUGAAGGCUCUAUGGGUCGUAAACUUCUUUUAUAUAAGAAUAAAGUGCAGUAUGUAUACUGUUUUGUAUGUAUUAUAUGAAUAAGGAUCGGCUAACUCCGUACCAGCAGCCGCGGUAAUCUGAGCGGGCGUGGCGAAGGC
rnacentral:rRNA from 1 species